rnacentral:lncRNA from 1 species
ACUCCGUUGCCUAUGAAACAUGUGAUCCAUCAAUAAAGAUGCCUGACAUCCCACGUUUGUCCAGGUUCUGUGAAGAAUGGCCAAGAAGUGCCCGAGACAGAGUCUAAUGGUAUGGCGGCAUGAGGAGAACAUGACAAAUAUUGUUGACAAAUACCCCCAGGCUGCUGAUUAUGUCAUGUAAGCACCCCAUUGCUCUUAAAGCUACAUCACUCUCACUUCAGGGAAUGGACACAAACUGCUUCUCGGGGGAUCGCUGUCUGGAGCUACAGACCAGCAUGGUGUUGAUCAAAGUGUGUCUUCAGCAGCUGAUGGUGUGACUCCAAGAGGACUUGCUGGUGGCAGCUCUCAUCCAGAUGCUUCAGGACUUGCUGGAGAUCCAGGAAUCUCACAAACACUUUCAACAGGUGCUGGAGAUCCCAGUCAUGUGUCCUACUCCACUGACCACAUGGGCACUGGAGAUCGUACUGCCGAGUCUAGUUUUCAGAGCGUCACAACCGAUGCAGCUGUUGUGUCUGCCAUGAUGUCACAGACUGAGCAUUUUUCUGUGGACCACAUGGGUAACGGUCAUCAGAAACCAGGGCUCGAGACACACCAUCGGGGUACCUCCUCUGCUGUCUUAAUUCCGGUUUACCUUCUUGAACAAAAAAACUAACCAUGAAAAUUUGUUCAUUUAAAUGUGUAUAUCCUUUACAGGGGACCAAUUUGAUAUCCACCAUGGACUUUUAAGUAAGUGAAGUUACUGCAUUUAUAAAGAAGGAGACAUCUGUAAGUAGUGCUAAUCUAAUGUGAAACCAGAGUAGAUUCCACAAAGCCUAGCUGAUUAAAUUAACCUUUCAUUCUAUAAAUUAUACAUGUAAAAUAUGCUAUUAUUUUAGUCUGUUCGCAGUACUUUGAACAUGUGUUCAAAAUUAUUUCUGAUAUUUCAGGUGCGUAUGGACAGUUUUGGGCAGUAUUUAUGAUUUUCUAGAUGUUUUUUCUGCCUACGCAUUACACAAGCAGUAAAAGUUAUCCGAAGCAGAGACUAUACACCGGGUGACAUCCCAAAACAGAGCAAUAAAUUUGAUUUUUGAUUUAAUAUGGAACA